CCUUUACUGCAUACAUGUGCACAUUUUUAGUUGAUGCAUCUAAAAGAUAUAGUUUUGAUUCGGUGUUUCUUUGUUUUCUUUUUAUUCAAAUAAUUUUAAAAUGUGAUGAUGUACACAACAAUAAAUAGUACCUAGUUUAGAGGAUUUUUUCGCGCUUGUUUGUAAACAACGCGCGGCAUUGUGGGAAAUAGGAAGGUACUAAAGACGCGAUGUACUAAACACUUAUUUGACCUGAUUCAAAUUUGUCUGUAAAUGUUCCAAACAAUUGAAUUUUUGUAUAGCAUAUGCCUCGAAGUCAUAAAGUCUGUACAUAAGUAAUUUAAAAUACUCAAUAUUACCAUUUAAUUAAAAAUUAAAACGUCAGGUAAAUAUCAGGUCUCUAGUAUAUCCCGUUUUUAGUGUGCCCCUUCGAGUCGACGUCGGACACAUGUUUGUCAUGGUUUACAAACUGAAAAUAGAAUGAUUUGUGAAGUUGAACAUUUUCUCACAAAGAAUCCGUUUGUAGACAUGCACACUCAUUUAAUCUGGAGCUACGAAGUACUUUGUCACUUCUCUGGAACAUUAUUCUAAGCAGAAUUAUCCCGAUUCAUAUAUUCUAAGAAUCUUGUGUGAAUUGUUUACGAGGAAAUUCUGACUGUCACAUUAACAAGGAUGAACACUCUUGACUCUGCUUCGGAUUCCCCAGUGAUAAUUGUAUCGAGUGAUGAAAGAGCUGACGGCGACAUUUUAAUGUAUGAUUGGCUUGGACCAUUGGAAUGAAGUCAUUUCAUGGUGCCACCACUUGGGAUGGUAUUAGCUGCAAAUAUAGACUUGUACUCAGCACUUAUUGCCUUUAAGAAGUAUGAGAUCCAUUUUGUGCUAACACCUACCGUGACACAGAAUCUUGGUUUAUGCAGUCUCAUAGGAGUAACCUGUCUAAAGCAUUUAGCAAUGGGAUUGGAACCUGCGACGUGUGACUCAUCUGAAGACUGAAUUUUGAUACCAAGCAUGACCAUGAUUUGCCAGAAGAUCAUCUGUUUGGAUGUGACAUGGAAUAAACAGCAUAGUGAAAAUAAGUCAAGUUUUGGUUUGUGAAGACAAUUUUUAAACACACUGUGUAUCAUUUUUAAAUUUUGAUUUGACAACAUAAAUCCACAAAUAUGAACAUAUCAAUUGCUCUCAGUUUUUCAAGUGAAAUAGUUUUUGUAACAGAAAUACAUGUACCAGUAAUUACAUUGGAAUAAAUGUUAUUUUUAAAUAUAAUAAUAUUUUGUUUGUGUAGCAUGUUGACCUCUUUAUUAAGGUCUUCCCUUUCAAAGUUUAGACUUACUUAUUCUAAUGAUUAAGAUAGAUCCUCUGUCUUCAGCAGGAAUAGAAGAUCUUGUAAUACAUGUAUGUGUAUUUUUUACAGUAUAACGUAAAAAAAAUUGUUAUUUUGGCACAUACAACUAAUUAAAGGCAUAAACAUGUGUAUGAUUCCAAGGAAUUCAGUACAUAGGGCAUGUACAUGUAGUUUUCUAAAACAAGAUUGAAGAGAUGUCCAGUCGCAUUUCAAUGUCAACUGCAAAACUGUGCCUGUUGCAUAUUUAUUAGCCCAUCUGAGCUAAAGGAACCAGUAAAUUUUUUAAAAACAUAAUUUUAUCCAUUAUCAUCAUUGUCUAAAAUUUCACAAUAUCAUUUUCCAGAACCAAAGUGAAACUUGGCACAGAGCAUCCUUAGUGUAGGGGAUUCAAAUUGUUCUUAUGCAGGGCAAUACCUUCAAAGAGAUUUGUUUCUUUAAUGCUGUAAAUGUAUUAUAUUUAGCUUGUACAAUAUUUGGUGGAAAUUGACUUUUGAAUAAGUUAGCGUAGAUAUUCUUAUUUAUGUUUAUGUACAAGACUUUUAGCUUUGUACUUGAUUUAGUGAUUGCUGCAUUCCGCCAAAGCCGCUAAAAAGAAUACACAGCCAUAUGUAAUAUGUUUACAAUAUACCUUUCAGAGAAUUUUACACUCCUAUUGAGGUACCACCAGUUGCUAGUGGAAAGCUUCAAAUUCGAAACAUACACAACACAUUUCUGUGCGUUUAUUAUAAAAGUAUUGUUCUACUUACUGAUUGCAACUAAUGAAGAUUGUUCAUCAUUAUUGUAAAUACAUUUGGAUUUUUUGAAUUAUUAUAUAAUUUGUUUAUUUUAUUUACCUAGUUAUAUUGUAUAUUAAAUGAUUUUAAAGCCAUUUUUAAGAUGGUAAUGUAGCAAAACACUUAUGUUUCUGUAGUA